rnacentral:rRNA from 1 species
UGCGGCCCUCGCGAACAAAAGAGUCCUGGGCCACGCCUGUCUGAGGGUCGGUUAUACGUGUAACACGAUGGUUGCGUUCUC